UACGAAGGGGGCUAGCGUUGCUCGGAAUUACUGGGCGUAAAGCGCACGUAGGCGGGUCUUUAAGUCAGGGGUGAAAUCCUGGAGCUCAACUCCAGAACUGCCUUUGAUACUGAAGAUCUUGAGUUCGGGAGAGGUGAGUGGAACUGCGAGUGUAGAGGUGAAAUUCGUAGAUAUUCGCAAGAACACCAGUGGCGAAGGCGGCUCACUGGCCCGAUACUGACGCUGAUGCACGAAAGCGUGGGGAGCAAACAGG
rnacentral:rRNA from 1 species